CGGGAGCACUGGUUCCUCUACUUCCUGUUCUUGUCCAGACUUUGAUACGUAGUGUACUCCUCUUUCCCUUCUCAUCUUGCCACCACCACUUACUCCUGAAGACAGACCAUUGGAUGCAGGAGUACUGAAUUUGGGGUAGGUCAAAUUGCUUUCAGAUGGUUCUACACGCUGUUCUUCAGGCAAACUCUUCUCUUUCAUUUCUUUGUGCUUUGUGUCUACUCUCUGGUGAAUUUUGCUAGAAUCAGCAGAUGGAGUCAGAGAUGGUUUAAAAUACUGGGUCCG
rnacentral:lncRNA from 1 species